AAAAGGGGAAAAAUGCCAGGGUUUUGAGAGGAAUGGGAGGAAAAAAUUUCCAGGGGUUUUAGAGGAAUGGGAGGGAAAAAUUUCCAGGGUUUUUAGAGGAAUGGGAGGAAAAAAUUUCCAGG